ensembl:lncRNA
CCGGUUUAUUAUAAAAGAAUAUAACUCAGGAAUAGCCAACUGGAAGAUAAGCAUAGGGCAAAGCAUGAAGAACGGUGCAGAGCUUUCAUGCCCUCCCUGAGUGUGCCACUCUUCCCGUAUCUCCAUGUGUUCUUCAACCUGGAAACACUCUGAACCCUGUCCUUUUGGGGUUUUAUGGAGGUUUCAUUACAUAGGUAUGAUUGUUUAAGUCAGUGGUUAUUGGUGAUUGAUUUAGCCUCCAGCCCCUCUCCCCUCCCUGGAAGUGUGUUUGGUGGGGUGGGACUGAAAGUUCCAACCCUCUAAUCACAUGGUGUCCUCUGGCAACCACCCCCAUCCUUAGAUGUGUUCCCAAAAGUUACCGCAUUAACAUAACGAAAGACACCUUGAUCACUCUCAUCACUUAGGAAAUUCCAAGAGUUUUAGGAGCUCAUACCAAAAAAAACAGGAGGAAGACCAAAUAUUUAUUUCCUAAUAUAAAUCACAAUAUCAGAGUCGACCCUCCAGUCUUCAAACAUGGAUCUCACAGCAAAACAAUCAUAAAGGUCAAAAGAUAACUGGCACAUUACUAGCAUCCUAUUCGGUCAAUAACCAUCCAGUCCAUCAUGAAAAUAUCUACUAGGUGUGAGCACACACUCCUGAAGGUGUGUAAGCCAGUCCUUCAUACCUUUAUUUCCCCAUUUUAAACAACCAGUGUUUUAAUUGCCCAUUCUAACUCUAUUGAACUACUACUCUAAGAAGGAUAUCACUCUGCCCAUUGUUGGACAUUGUGGGCUGUAAAGUGUGUUUGUUCCUUGGUGUUGAUAAAUAAAUGAAAAGCAAUAGUACAUAUUGGAGUAUAUGAGGAAGCCAUUUGGUAUAAAACUAAUUUGACCUUUGUUUUUCCAAAAGGGCCUGAUGUGGCCUGUUGAGCAUGCAUUGUAUAUCUGCUUUAAACAUUUACAAUUUACAAUGUCCCAAAGACAAGAAUGAUGCCCCUCUAAAGAUAGGGAUGUAGCUUCCCUCCAUAUUGGCAUUUCUUUAAGGAUAAACAUCUCUUCCUAGAAACUAAGGAUUAAUUACUGACCUGAUGUACUGACCUGCUGACCACUGAUCUGCUGUGCCAGCUAAGCAUCUCAUGACAAUGGUAAAAGGAACAUUCCUGUCAUAUGUGAUGUAUGCUCUUUGUUCCAAGACAGUAUAUAACCACUCUGUACACCCCACUUCUUUGGUCCUCUUCCUUCCUUGGAGAAGGACAGCCCCAGGAUAGUCUUCAGAUCUGGCUCCCCAAUUUUGAUUUAUAGAUUGAUUAUGGAUUAUCUGUGUUGACAGUGUGAAGAAAUGACAGUCGGCUAUCCAAAUUGGUGGAAUAGCUUUUGUUCUAGUUCUUUCAUAAUACUCUGAGCAUUUACCAGCUACGUUCAGGGCCUUCCCACCAGGGAAUCUGCCACAAAAUCAUCUGCAGGCUCUGUCUCUCUCGGUGUCAGACAGAACAGUUCUUAUUGGCAUUUUGUGCCUCAGAGGUGCAAGCGGGAUAGGUUUAGAUUCAUCCCACCUGUGCAUUGCUGCAGUGUCCCCAUAUCCAUUCAUUUCCUAGACCCAGGUGGCCAUCUCAAGGGAGCACGUGGGUACAUCUGCUGCUCGAUUCCAGUUACCUGGAAGGGAGUUCUACUGAUGGGCAUCGACACGUCCUACUUUAAUGCACCCCUCAAAUUUCCACAGGGCUAUGUCCCAUAUGGGCAUCCCUUUAAUAGGCUAGGUUUCCAUUGUCUUCCUGCCUGACCAUAUGGUCAGGCCAUUGGCCACAGCCCACAAGUCAACAAAAACCCAAACACAGGGGCUUUCACCACUGUUCAGUUCUUCCAUUACUGCUGGGAAAACAUGCAAUUCAGCACACCAGGCUGAUUUGUUUUUACCUUCUUCCAUCAGAGUGGUGGCUUUCUAAACACGAUGUUGUCCAUUCACCUUGGAACUGCCAUCCACAAAGCAAGGAGCUCUUUGUCGAUCAGUCAGGAACAGUUUAUAGGGCAGUGUCCAAAUGAUAGCAGAAUCCAGUAGCUCCUCAUAGACUUCCAGAGUCAGUCCGAGGGGAAGAGAGGGUCCUUGCUUGUGACUAUCUCCUCCUUGCAUUUCCCAGGCAGCAUGAUCC